GAUGAACGCUAGCGGCAGGCUUAAUACAUGCAAGUCGAGGGGCAGCAUGAUUGUAGCAAUACAAUUGAUGGCGACCGGCAAACGGGUGCGGAACACGUACACAACCUUCCAACAAGUGGGGGAUAGCCCAGAGAAAUUUGGAUUAAUACCCCGUAACAUAGCGAUGUGGCAUCACAUUGCUAUUAUAGAUUUUUCGCUUGUUGAUGGGUGUGCGGCUGAUUAGAUAGUUGGCGGGGUAACGGCCCACCAAGUCUACGAUCAGUAGCUGAUGUGAGAGUAUGAGCAGCCACACGGGCACUGAGAAACGGGCCCGACUCCUACGGGAGGCAGCAGUAAGGAAUAUUGGACAAUGGACGAAAGUCUGAUCCAGCCAUGCCGCGUGAAGGAUUAAGGUCCUCUGGAUUGUAAACUUCUUUUAUAAGGGACGAAAAAAGGCUUUUCUAAGUCGUCUGACGGUACCCUAUGAAUAAGCACCGGCUAACUCCGUGCCAGCCGCCGCAGUAAAAC
rnacentral:rRNA from 1 species